rnacentral:rRNA from 1 species
AACGAACGCUGGCGGCAGGCCUAACACAUGCAAGUCGAACGCCGUAGCAAUACGGAGUGGCAGACGGGUGAGUAACACGUGGGAACAUACCCUUCGGUUCGGAAUAACUCAGGGAAACUUGAGCUAAUACCGGAUACGUCCGCGAGGAGAAAGAUUCAUCGCCGGAGGAUUGGCCCGCGUCUGAUUAGCUUGUUGGUGAGGUAACGGCUCACCAAGGCGACGAUCAGUAGCNGGUCUGAGAGGAUGAUCAGCCACAUUGGGACUGAGACACGGCCCAAACUCCUACGAGAGGCAGCAGUGGGGAAUAUUGGACAAUGGGCGCAAGCCUGAUCCAGCCAUGCCGCGUGAGUGAUGAAGGCCCUAGGGUUGUAAAGCUCUUUUACCCGGGUAAGGAUAAUGACUGUACCGGGAGAAUAAGCACCGG